GCCAGCAUGGCGUAGUGGUUUGAAUGUUGGGCUACAACUCUGGAGACCAGGGUUUGAUUCCCAGCUCUGCCG
rnacentral:tRNA from 1 species